rnacentral:rRNA from 1 species
AGAGUUUGAUCAUGGCUCAGAUUGAACGCUGGCGGAAUGCUUUACACAUGCAAGUCGAGCGGCAGCGCGGGGGCAACCCUGGCGGCGAGCGGCGAACGGGUGAGUAAUGUAUCGGAACGUACCCAGUCGUGGGGGAUAACUAUCCGAAAGGAUAGCUAAUACCGCAUACGUCCUGAGGGAGAAAGCGGGGGACCGAAAGGCCUCGCGCGAUUGGAGCGGCCGAUAUCGGAUUAGCUAGUUGGUGAGGUAAAGGCUCACCAAGGCGACGAUCAGUAGCGGGUCUGAGAGGAUGAUCCGUCACACUGGAACUGAGACACGGUCCAGACUCCUACGGGAGGCAGCAGUGGGGAAUUUUGGACAAUGGGGGCAACCCUGAUCCAGCCAUUCCGCGUGAGUGAAGAAGGCCUUCGGGUUGUAAAGCUCUUUCAGCCGGAACGAAACGGUACGCACUAAUAUUGUGUGCUAAUGACGGUACCGGCAGAAGAAGCACCGGCUAACUACGUGCCAGCAGCCGCGGUAAUACGUAGGGUGCGAGCGUUAAUCGGAAUUACUGGGCGUAAAGCGUGCGCAGGCGGAUUGUUAAGCAAGAUGUGAAAUCCCCGGGCUUAACCUGGGAAUGGCAUUUUGAACUGGCAGUCUAGAGUGUGUCAGAGGGGGGUGGAAUUCCACGUGUAGCAGUGAAAUGCGUAGAUAUGUGGAGGAACACCAAUGGCGAAGGCAGCCCCCUGGGAUAACACUGACGCUCAUGUACGAAAGCGUGGGUAGCAAACAGGAUUAGAUACCCUGGUAGUCCACGCCCUAAACGAUGUCAACUGGUUGUUGGGGGGAGUGAAAUCCCUUAGUAACGAAGCUAACGCGUGAAGUUGACCGCCUGGGGAGUACGGUCGCAAGAUUAAAACUCAAA